rnacentral:tRNA from 1 species
GGUGUGGUGGCUCAGUGGUAGAGUGCUUGCCUUGCAUGCAUAAGGCCCUGGGUUCGAUUCCUCAGCACCC